UGCGUCGUAGCCAAGCGGUAAAGGCAGAGGACUUUGAACCCUCUAUCGUGUGUCCGACUCACACCGGCGCAA
rnacentral:tRNA from 1 species